GCUAACUGAAGGGACUGAAGGAAGUGUGGAAGGACUGAGCAUAAGAAGGGGAAAGGGGACCUCCAUUAUGGAGUGCUUCCUUGCUGCAGCCAAGGGAACCUGGAUUUUAUGGCAGCCAGUGCUUCAGAAAACCAGUGGCCACAGGGAGGAGUUUUAAGAACUGGAAAUUAAAAGAGAAGCCAGAGUCAUGCCAUAUUUAUCAAGGGAGAAUGAAAUUUGCUUACUGGAAUUAUUACAAAACCAUAGCAUUUCAGAAAAUUUUUCAAAGAGCCCUUAGAGAUCCUUCAUAAUUAUUAUGGCUGUCCCACUGGCAGAUACAGACAAUGGAGGAAACAGAUAGGAGUGUCUGGUUAAUGUGACAAGUAUUUCUCAAAGUGUUCCAUGCAUAGCUUCUAAAUCUUUCUCUGGACCUGAUCACCUUCAGGAACCAACCAAUCAAGAGUGAGUCUCUGGCCUUCAAAGCAGAGACUGGUCUUUCCAGAGAUGAACCCCCCCGUAACAUGGCAGUUUCAUUCAUGGCUGAUCAGGAAUGUAUCAUAACCCUUCCUGGUCAUCUGUACACCAUUAAACAUCCUGUGAGAGGGGUUUGCCAGAUGGAUUAUAGGAUUCUUGAAGAUGCUGAUAUACCUCUCCAAAAUAACUGACUUACUGCUUGAUCAAAGCCUCAUGCUCAGUUAUUUUGCCCAUUUGCACUACUCUAGUGGUUUUAGAAUUAAAUUAUUAAAAAAUA